GUUAAUUAUGUUGUAUUUACGUUAUUCUUUUCUAUUGUGUUACGCUGUUAUGUUUAAUAUUGGUCCUUUAUAUUAUAUUAGUAUACAUGUGUUAAACAUUGUUAUAUUGACAGAUAUAUAUAUUGAUAGAAGUACUUUCAUGUUUUUAAUGUUUUAUGUGUUGGGUUUUGUCAUGCUAGGUCUGAGGUGAAUAAUUUUUGUGUGUGUUUCUUAACCAGGGUUGCAAAGAGAAGGUCAAAUAUUGGCUGCAGGAAAACAUUAACACCAUCACGGGCAUGGUCGUCGGUCUCAUGUUUAUCCAGAUGGUUCUGUUUGUCCUCAUGGUGUCUCUGUACUACGCGAUCAAAAGCAAAGCUGCUUUGAAAAUAAAUCCUCCAACGGACACUGACCACGCCCCCCUGGACCCCUCCCCGAA